UGAACACUUGAAAUUUAUUUUUUUUUCUUUUUCGUAUUUUUUUUGUUUUUGUUUUUUGAAUUUGCUAUCGAAUUUCUUUGUGUCAAACUCAGGAACAAAUUGUUAUAUUUUUGCUCUUCGAUGGGGAUUGGAAAUACUCUUUAUUGAUUUCAAAAUACAAAAUAUAAGUCAUUUCAUAGGAUAACAAAAUGUAGGGAUUUUCAGCUUUUUGUUCCAGUGGUUGUUGUUCCUUGGUCUCCUUUCGUGCUGCCAUCUCAUGAGGGUUAUUGGAAACUAAUAGUUACUAUGCAACACAUGCUUUCACAUUUUUCAUUCUUCAUCAUCAUCAUCAUCGUCGUCUGUAUAUGAAGAAGGAAAAGGAGGAAACACAAAAAUACAAAAGUGAGGGGGUGGAAAAAAGAAUUUUUUUCUAACCUUCAGCAG